AUGCACAGGAUUCUCCCCCGAGCCGCCUCCUUCCUCGACGCGGCCGCGGCCCCGGCCCGGCCGCUGCUGCCCUCCUCCCGCAUGCCCGCGCUCCGCCUGGCGGGCCCGUCCCUCUCCGCUUGCUCGGUGCCGAGCACCGCGCGCCUCCACCCCCUGCCGUGGCUGCGCUGCGGCGGUGGCGGCGCGGUCGCGAGGAGGGGGCUCUGCUGCUCCGCCGAGGCGGCGAGACGCGGGGAUGUUGCCGCGGGAGAGGGGGAGGAGGAGGAAGAGGGGAGGGGCUCCAGAGGAGGUGGGGGUCGCAAUUCGCCAGAGAGGAAGCAGAGAGGCCGGGGCGAUGCGGCGACGGGGAGCGGGGAGCUGCUCGCCAUUCCUGGGGUCGGGCCGCGGAACCAGAGGAAGCUCGUUGAGAAGGGAUUCGAUGGCGUCGCGCCGCUCAAGCAGCUCUAUCGGGAUAAGUUCUUUGGCAAGUCUGAUGAGAAGAUGGUUGAGUUCUUGCAAAGUUCAGUUGGCAUCAUACACAAGAACCAUGCUGAGAGUAUAACUCUGUUCAUUAAAGAGAGCGUUGAUGAGGAGGUGAAAGACACUGACACAUCUAAGCCCUGCAGAAGAAAGAGGCUCACCUUUUGUGUUGAAGGGAAUAUCAGUGUCGGGAAAUCUACAUUCCUCCAAAGAAUUGCCAACGAGACUAUCGAACUACGUGACCUUGUGGAAAUAGUACCUGAACCUGUUGCAAAGUGGCAGGAUAUUGGGCCUGAUCAUUUUAACAUACUUGAUGCUUUCUAUGCUGAACCACAGAGGUAUGCUUACACUUUCCAGAAUUACGUCUUUGUGACAAGGGUGAUGCAAGAGAGGGAGUCUUCAAGUGGAAUAAAGCCUCUCCGGCUGAUGGAAAGAAGUGUUUUCAGUGAUAGAAUGGUUUUUGUCCGUGCUGUUCAUGAAGCUAAGUGGAUGAAUGAGAUGGAAAUCAGCAUUUACGAUUCCUGGUUCGACCCAGUUGUGUCAUCUCUCCCGGGUCUUGUCCCUGAUGGUUUUAUUUAUCUAAGAGCUAGCCCUGACACCUGCCACAAAAGAAUGAUGGUUCGGAAAAGGUCAGAGGAGGGUGGUGUCAGUCUUGAUUACCUUCAAGGUUUGCAUGAGAAACAUGAGAGCUGGCUACUUCCGUCCAAAGGACAAGGUUCUGGUUUGUUGUCAGUCAGUCAGCUUCCAAUUCAUAUGGAGGGCUCACUACAUCCAGAAAUACGAGAUCAAGUGUUCUUCCUGGAAGGAGAUCAUAUGCAUUCUAGUAUCCAGAAGGUUCCUGCUCUGAUCCUGGACUGUGAAAAUGACAUUGAUUUUAACAAGGACAUUGAAGCUAAACGACAAUAUGCUCGUCAAGUUGCGGAGUUCUUCGAAUUUGUGAAGAAAAAGAAUGAAGCUCUUCCUGCUGAGACAAGUGAUGGCGACAAGAGUAUGAGCCCACAGGUUAUGCUUCCUGGCAGAGGUGAUUUGUGGUUCCCUGGAGGCAGCCCUUUACCAAAAUCUGCUCUAGGAUCUCUUGAAUUCAGACGGGCGAUGUCGUCCUUCCUCUCAAAGUAG
rnacentral:rRNA from 1 species